CGAAUGCUGACAUAAGUAACGAUAAAGCGGGUGAAAAGCCCGCUCGCCGGAAGACCAAGGGUUCCUGUCCAACGUUAAUCGGGGCAGGGUGAGUCGACCCCUAAGGCGAGGCCGAAAGGCGUAGUCGAUGGGAAACAGGUUAAUAUUCCUGUACUUGGUGUUACUGCGAAGGGGGGACGGAGAAGGCUAUGUUGGCCGGGCGACGGUUGUCCCGGUUUAAGCGUGUAGGCUGGUUUUCCAGGCAAAUCCGGAAAAUCAAGGCUGAGGCGUGAUGACGAGGCACUACGGUGCUGAAGCAACAAAUGCCCUGCUUCCAGGAAAAGCCUCUAAGCAUCAGGUAACAUCAAAUCGUACCCCAAACCGACACAGGUGGUCAGGUAGAGAAUACCAAGGCGCUUGAGAGAACUCGGGUGAAGGAACUAGGCAAAAUGGUGCCGUAACUUCGGGAGAAGGCACGCUGAUAUGUAGGUGAAGUCCCUCGCGGAUGGAGCUGAAAUCAGUCGAAGAUACCAGCUGGCUGCAACUGUUUAUUAAAAACACAGCACUGUGCAAACACGAAAGUGGACGUAUACGGUGUGACGCCUGCCCGGUGCCGGAAGGUUAAUUGAUGGGGUUAGCGCAAGCGAAGCUCUUGAUCGAAGCCCCGGUAAACGGCGGCCGUAACUAUAACGGUCCUAAGGUAGCGAAAUUCCUUGUCGGGUAAGUUCCGACCUGCACGAAUGGCGUAAUGAUGGCCAGGCUGUCUCCACCCGAGACUCAGUGAAAUUGAACUCGCUGUGAAGAUGCAGUGUACCCGCGGCAAGACGGAAAGACCCCGUGAACCUUUACUAUAGCUUGACACUGAACAUUGAGCCUUGAUGUGUAGGAUAGGUGGGAGGCUUUGAAGUGUGGACGCCAGUCUGCAUGGAGCCGACCUUGAAAUACCACCCUUUAAUGUUUGAUGUUCUAACGUUGACCCGUGAUCCGGGUUGCGGACAGUGUCUGGUGGGUAGUUUGACUGGGGCGGUCUCCUCCUAAAGAGUAACGGAGGAGCACGAAGGUUGGCUAAUCCUGGUCGGACAUCAGGAGGUUAGUGCAAUGGCAUAAGCCAGCUUGACUGCGAGCGUGACGGCGCGAGCAGGUGCGAAAGCAGGUCAUAGUGAUCCGGUGGUUCUGAAUGGAAGGGCCAUCGCUCAACGGAUAAAAGGUACUCCGGGGAUAACAGGCUGAUACCGCCCAAGAGUUCAUAUCGACGGCGGUGUUUGGCACCUCGAUGUCGGCUCAUCACAUCCUGGGGCUGAAGUAGGUCCCAAGGGUAUGGCUGUUCGCCAUUUAAAGUGGUACGCGAGCUGGGUUUAGAACGUCGUGAGACAGUUCGGUCCCUAUCUGCCGUGGGCGCUGGAGAACUGAGGGGGGCUGCUCCUAGUACGAGAGGACCGGAGUGGACGCAUCACUGGUGUUCGGGUUGUCAUGCCAAUGGCACUGCCCGGUAGCUAAAUGCGGAAGAGAUAAGUGCUGAAAGCAUCUAAGCACGAAACUUGCCCCGAGAUGAGUUCUCCCUGACUCCUUGAGAGUCCUGAAGGAACGUUGAAGACGACGACGUUGAUAGGCCGGGUGUGUAAGCGCAGCGAUGCGUUGAGCUAACCGGUACUAAUGAACCGUGAGGCUUAACCUUACAACGCCGAAGCUGUU
rnacentral:rRNA from 1 species